GUUCGAUAUUCAUUUCUCUCUUAAUAAAAAAAAUGCCACAUUAGUAAAAAAAUAAAAACUAUACUAUGUAUGGCUUUGGAGAGCUAAGUUCCCAGCAAGCCAUGUUCAAAUGGGCAUGCAAAGAGAGCACGUGUAUGUGUAUGGAGAUCAUGUAUGCUUCAUGUUAUGACUUGCAGCACUAAUCAUCUCAGAGCAUAAAUCACAACUAUGACAAAAUUUGCUACAAACUAAAAGAAAUCACUAAAAAAUGAAGAUCAUUUAAUCACAAGUUCAAACAAAUAAAAAAUAACCGCAUUUCAUGAUUUUGUCAAAGCACAGAACUUGUUGGAUCCAACAUAUGUUUUACCUUCUCUUUUGUCACUCACAAUGACAUCCUGCUUACUACUAGGUGUCAUGCGGCUUCAAGUGGAAUGGAGAACGACGAUGGGAUGAUUGGUGAGAAGCUGAAGAACCUAAAGAACCAGAAGUAGUACUUCUGGUCCCCUUUUUUUUUUCUUUGAUUGCAUCUAUUUGUUCCAAUUCCUCCACAACUUCUUUCAUGGAGGGACGGCUUUUAGGAUCUGAUUCCAGGCAUUUUAAAGUAAGUUGUGCCGCUUGUAACAUUGCUUUUGAAGAGUAUUGGCCUUCUAUUCUCACAUCCAUGAUGGGUUUUAACUUUCUUUUCUGUGGAAGAGUAGGCUUCAACCAAUCAACCAAAUUUUGCUGCCCAUUUGGACGCUUUGUAUCAAGUGCCCUUAAGCCUGUCAGCAUUUCAAGCAGCACCACUCCGAACCCAUACACAUCACUCUUAACAUAUAAAUGACCUGUUGCAAUGUACUCAGGAGCAGCAUAGCCAUAUGUUCCCAUAACUCUAGUUGUCACAUGUGAGUCGCCACCUGAAGGCCCAAAUUUUGCCAAGCCAAAAUCUGAUAUUUUUGCAUUGUAAUUCUGUAAACAGACAGGAAACGAAGAAAAAGAAAAUGCAAUGUCACUAAAAUAUCCACAUAGAAUAAAGAUCAACGACAAGUAAUAGGUGCCUACACCUAUAAACAAAACUUCCUAUAACUCCAUGUUCCUUUACUCUUCUUGUUUAAACUUUGUAGUACAUUGAAAGGAAAACAACCUUCAUUUGUUUUUGGAGGCUUACUAAGUUCGGUCCUGUUGCUAUUAAAGUAUCUAUAUAGCAAGUCAAGUGCAGAAAGAUUCGAGAUCUCAUCAAGUACCAAAAGAAAGAGAAGGAAACAUAGAAUCCUUGAAAUGGCAGUCAAACUGCAAACUAGUCAUCUGCAAUUAAAUAACAAGUACUUGCCUAUCCUCUUUAGCACGAUGCUCCAUUUAGCAGCUUCAAAAAAUUGAUGGAAAUGGAAGUUUAGAUCACAAGGGUACUAAUUCUAUAGCAUUCCAUGGUUACAAAAUAGCAUAUUUCUGUUUAUUUUUAUCAUAAAAUUCUAGUAUUGAGCCCCAGUUGGUAGCAAUAACAAUCUAAAAGAAAAGGGAAAUUAUGAAUCAUAAAAGUUCCACCCACAAUCAGUAUGGCUUCCAUAUUUCUAUAACUGUCUCUAAUUCUUUUAUCUUUUCAAGAAACAAAUAGAGGAUUUCAAAUUAGGCCUAGAUUUCUUUUGAAAAAAGAAUAGAGAUGACAUAUAAACUAACCCCAUCAAGCAGUAUAUUUGAGGCCUUGAAAUCUCUGUAAAUGACUUUCUUAUCUGAAGUAUGAAGAAAAGCAAGACCUCGAGCUGCUCCAAUAGCUAUCUUGAGCCGUAAGUCCCAAGACAAGGGUUCAAUAGCAGGAUUCCUUCUGAAAAGAUGAUUCUCCAAGCUUCCCCUCUGCAUGAACUCAUACACAAGGAGUAGCUCUUUAUCCUCCCAACAAUAACCCAACAAUUUAACCAAGUUGGGAUGAGACAAUCUGCCUAGAAAGUUCACCUCUGACUGCAUUUUCAAAAAAGAAACACAGAUAGUUAGCAUCAAUAAUAAGGGCCAUGUUGCGCAGAUUUAAAAUGUUUUCAACAAAGCUAUGGAACUAUUGCCCAAUGGUUGAGCACCUGCCCCACAUUUUGAGAACAAAAGAUUUCAAACCCUGGCUCAGACUGGCCUAUCCAUUCCUCUCCCAUGAAAAAACAAAAAAAAUAUCCAACCAAGCUAGAGUUAUUAGCUAUACAUAAUUUUGUAAUUAUGAUCACUCUUCAAGCAUUUUUCCUCAAAAGAGGUCUCAUAGCUACAAAGAUAUGACUGCAGAGGUGACCUUAUGAGCAAGGCAUCUUCCACCAGCAAUCACACUAGUGAAAUAAAUUCCAGUCAAUAGCAUACCAAAUGUCACUGCAAAUGGGAUCCAUUUCGGAAAAUGAUUGAAGCCAACAACAAAGAUCACCCUUGCUUACCUUUUUUUUUUUCCCUUUCCCCUCUUUUAUUCUUUCUUUUCUUUUACGUUCACAGACUCAACAGAAACAAGAUAUUGGAAACAGAAUGAUCAAUAAAUACUUAAUAAUUCCAAUUUUUUUAACGGAUAAUUGUAUAAUUGAAAUUAGAAUCAAGACCUGCCACUCUUGAAACCCUUGAACACUUUCUGGGUUCAAUUUCUUGACAGCAACCACCAUACCAAUGCCACUUUUGGAUGGAGCAAAAGUCUUUUCAUCUAUCCAUCCUUUGAAGACUUUACCAAAACCACCUUCACCCAACAAAGUGUCUGGUCUGAAAUUCUUUGUGGCACUCUUCAAAUCAGCAAAGGUGAACUCCUUCAAGUUUGGUGCUUCCAAUAUUUGACCGUUUGGAUUUGUCUCUUCAUUCACUUCACUAACUGCAGCAGAGAAUUGACUUUUCCCUGCACUGCUGCUCGUGGCAGAGAAAUCCAUGGUGGUGUUGCUAUUUGAUGACCCAGGGGUGUGAGUAUUGGUAGUGGUGAAAGAGAAGCUAGGAAUAGCAUCCUGAAAGGGAGAUCCAAAGCAAUUGCCCAUGUUGACUUUUAACCUGUUUCUCUUAGAUGCUACAACAACUCGUUAGAUCAAGAAAACAUGUUGAUGGCAGAAGUAUAUAAAGGGGGUUGGAUCGAAGAGAUGAAAAAGAAGAGGAGAGGAGCAAGAAAAAGUGGGUUUUGUUGCUUUUAGCUUUUGGAUGAUGUUCACUUCGAUUUCUUCUUUAUAGGGAGGAAAAAGAAUGGUCUCAGCCUUUUUUUUUCGUCGCAGUUACCAAAUCCCACUUUUCUGGUUUCAUAUUUUGUCGCCAGCUCUGUAUUUUACAAUUUAUAGGCCAUGGACUUUUCUUCCUAUGAAAAGAAGUUACGCAACGGAACUCACUGCCGCUAUUUAGCAACGACCUCAUUUAUGUUACUACCGUUAAUUACUUCAGCUUCGAUUUUUACUGUCAUCCAAAAAUUAAAAUACAUUUUUAUAAUAUAAGGAUUGAAAAUAA
rnacentral:misc_RNA from 1 species